rnacentral:rRNA from 1 species
GAUGAACGCUGGCGGCGUGCCUAAUACAUGCAAGUCGAACGCUCAGACGAGGAGCUUGCUCUUCUUGGAUUAGUUGCGGACGGGUGAGUAACGCGUGGGUAACCUGCCUUGUAGCCGGGGAUAACUUCUGGAAACGGUAGCUAAUACCGGAUAAUAUUGUGUACCCCAUGUUUUUUAAUUGAAAGGCGCUAUUGCUGUACUUUAUAGUGGACUCUGCGCUGCAUUAGCUAGUAGGUAAGGUAACGGCUUACCAAGGCAACGAUGCUUAGCCGACCUGAGAGGGUGAUCGGCCACACUGGAACUGAGACACGGUCCAGACUCCUACGGGAGGCAGCAGUAGGGAAUCUUCGGCAAUGGGGGAAAGCCGGACGAAGAACGCCGCCGUGGGGAAGAAAGUUUUCGGGUCGGAAAACUUCGGUGAAAGGGGAGAAACAGAGGUGGAGGGGAAAGUGCACACCGUGACGGUAGCUAAUCAGAAAGCGACGGCUAACUACGUG